rnacentral:misc_RNA from 1 species
UCUGUUGCUUUGACAAAUAACUAUCAGCAGGCGGAUACAGGGACCAAAAUGAUACACAAGGGAAAGAAUACAAGAAGUCGAAUUAUUUCAAAAGGUAUUUCAGCUGGGAAUUCCAGAAACUGUUACAGGGGGCUUGUUCAGAUCCAAUCAAAGGCAGACCAUGCUCGAAACUCUUCACAGUGUGACUCAAUGCUUAUUGGUGACACUGCAGCUGCCAAUACCUAUCCAUAUAUUCAGGUGAAGAACCCAACAGCUCGUGUCGAACAUGAAGCCAGCACCUCUAAAAUUGGUGAAGAUCAACUAUUUUACUUUCAGCAGAGGGGAAUUGACUAUGAAAAGGCCAUGGCUGCUAUGAUUUCUGGGUUCUGUCAGGAUGUCUUCAAUGAACUUCCUGAUGAAUUUGGCGCUGAGGUGAACC